CAAUAGCGUAUAUUAAAGUUGUUGCAGUUCAAAAGCUCGUAGUUGGAUUUCGGGGCAGCCUGGCUGGUCCGCCGCAAGGCGAGUACUGGUCAGCCGCCCUUCCUCUCGAAAGCCCCGACUGCUCUUUAUUGCAGUGGUCGGGUAGUUCGGGACGUUUACUUUGAAAAAAUUAGAGUGUUCAAGGCAGGCCUACGCCUGAAUACAUUAGCAUGGAAUAAUGGAAGAGGACCUCGGUCCUAUUUUGUUGGUUUCCAGGACCGAAGUAAUGAUUAAGAGGGACAGUUGGGGGCAUUCGUAUUUAAUUGUCAGAGGUGAAAUUCUCGGAUUUAUGAAAGACGAACAACUGCGAAAGCAUUUGCCAAGGAUGUUUUCAUUAA
rnacentral:rRNA from 1 species